UCAGUCACGUGUGGAAAUUGGAAAAGGAAGAUUGGAUUUGAAAAUUAGGACGUAAACGCGCGCCAACCAGAGACUCUGUUCAUGCAAACCUUCCACCCAUCACCACCAUGGACCACCGCAUCGGAAAUCGCUUCCAACGGUGGUGGCCACCAGAAGUCAACAUCCAAUACGUCAAUAGCUUCACCUUCACCUCCUUAGUCCGAAUCUCUCACUAAUUUUAUGGAACCGUAACUCUAAAUCCAUAACCGAAAUGAAAUCCUUCAAGAACCCUAAAACAAAACUCCUAAAUCAAACGUCUCUCUCCAAGGAUCAAAGCCCAAGGGAUUGGGGUUCUGAACCCCCUAGCUCUCAUCUACGUCAUGGCUAUGAAAGAUUGAAUGAAAGAGAGAGUUCCGAAAUUUUACCUUGCUGGAUGUGACGACAAUGACGAAUGUGCUUGCGACGAUGAAAGCUCUGUUUCCAGGUUUUGCAAUGUGAUGUGGCCUUGGUUAGGUUUCCUUGCGAGAUGCUCAUUGGCUGCUAUGGAUUUAGCAUGUUGUUGGUUGCAGGUUCUGAGUUGCAUUGGAGUUUGCUAUUGGUCAAAUGAUGACCUGUUACUGCAUGUUUUGGCUGGUCUGGACUUGGCUUCCACUGCUGCCAGUUCUACAAUGUUGUUGAUGUUGCCUUUUCCUUUUGGAAAUGCUUAAUUGCUAGGUGUGGCUCUGAUGUGUUAUACUGCAGCAGGUGUGCUUGUUAAUUGUAUUUGUUUUGAUGUUUCACAAUGAUUGACAUGGUUUGGUAUGUUUGGUAAUAGGUCCUGCAGGAUUUGUGUUUGGCUGCAAAUUCUUAUUCAGCUGCUACUGAUACCUUGUAGGGCGUGUGACUUUUGUUGCUGCAAGGUUUUAAUGUUUAAUCAUUGCUGGUUGUUGCAGACAAUUUGCACUGGUGUUGUGCACUGAUUCAACGGGUUUGCAGUGGCUUGCACAUUGCCUAAGAUGGAUGUGGAUGAAGUAUUGGGUUACUAGGGUGGCCAAAUCUCUUUGACUCCUGAGAUCAACCUAAAGCAGCAUGUCAUGUGAUAAUAGUGAAAUGGACAAUGUAAUGUGUUUUCUUGAUUGCUGUGUUGCUUCCACAUUUGUGAUGCUUGGUAGGUUCUGACCAUGAUGAGCUUGGUUCUGGCUGUACUGUCUUGGCAGGAACCUUGGUGAAUUGCUCAUGGCAAGGGUAAUAUGUAGCUGCAGAACUUGCACUGCCAGCUGCAGGUUUGAUGAUGGCCAAAUGAUAUUGCUUCAUGGUUUCGACAGCUUGGUUUUAAAUACUGAACUGCUUUGAUAACAGGUCGGUUAUUUGGUUGUGGUUUCAGCUUGCUUCAAGCUUGCAUAGGCUCACAUCAAAAACCCAAAAUAUAGCCAAUGCAACAUUGCAUUCUGACUUGGUUUGUGCUUAUCAACCAAGCAUGCCAUGAAGUGAACAAUGGUUGGACAAAAUCCCAUGGCAUCAAAGUUAUAACUUGAAGUAUCCAUCAUGGAAUGGUCAAUCAAAGAUCAAAAGUCCAAUAUUGAAGAUCGGAUUAGGAAUGGGAAUUUGGGGAUGAAAAAGGUUGGGUUGACUUUGGUCAAAGUUGACCAAAAAGUCAACCAUUGACCAAAGUCAACAUUUGGUCAACAUAUUAAUUUUUUUGCACUUUCCCCAUGUAAUGAACCUAUUAUAGAUUGUAAUGAAUGGAAUUGAAUAUUCUUGGAUGAAAAUGGAUUGUUUUUAAAUUGAUCUUUAACAUGAACAUGAUACUUGUAUGGAA